GCGAACUCCUCUGCGGCCCCGGAGGAUUCGGAGGGGCGGCAGGAGCCACGCGGGCCCGCGGAAGAAAGGCGCGGCCGCCCUGCCUCCUCCACCGGCGAGCUGUGGGCAGCGGCGGCGGACGCAGGCCCGGAAUUUAGAAAAGAAAGAAAGAAAGAAAAAUCUUGCUGUAGAAGAACUGCCUAGGAACUGACUGUGGAAUUACAAAUAGUGAUGUGGGGUCUAAGUACCUUCCUCUUGAAGCUGGUUGGAAUAUGUGUGCUUUGAAAAAUGGAGUACAACAGAAGUGAUGCUAGGUCAUCAGAAAAAGGACUCUCCAAGAGUCCGCCUUGUUCUCUGGAAUACUCUUGGAUUCCUGUCCACCAUGUAAAAAGAUGAAUUACCUUGAGGACACCACGCUUCCAGAAAGCCUAAGCCACAUGGAGAAGCAAUCUAGUCAACAGUCGCAGCUGAGUGCAGCCUUUGAGUCAUCCAGCUCAAGUACCGGUUAUUUCAGCGAAGAAACUGACAGAUGAUUCCAACUCCAAGACACUUGAGUCACCCUCCCAGAUGAGGGCUCAAGCAUCAUGGAACUGAGACAAGCAUCCCUGCUCUGCUCUGAGUUCAUGACCCACAGGAGCCUAGUAAAGUGGUUGUUUAUUUAUA